AUGUUGACACUUUAUGACUAUCUCCUUAAACCUCUCCCAUGUUUCAAAAUUAGUUUCAGUCGCUUUCUGGUAGAAGUUAUGGAUUUCACUUCUAAACUU
rnacentral:snoRNA from 1 species